AUUGAACGCUGGCGGCAGGCUUAACACAUGCAAGUCGAGCGAGCGGCGGACGGGUGAGUAAUGUCGGGGAAACUGCCUGAGGGAGGGGGAUAAAUACUGGAAACGGUAGAUAAUAGCGCAUACCAUCAGAUGUGCCCAGAGGGGAUUAGCUAGUAGGGGGGGACAUGGCUCACCUAGGCGACGAUCCCUAGCUGGUCUGAGAGGAUGCCCAGCCACACUGGAACUGAGACACGGUCCAGACUCCUACGGGAGGCAGCAGUGGGGAAUAUUGCACAAUGGGCGCAAGCCUGAUGCAGCCAUGCCGCGUGUGUGAAGAAGGCCUUCGGGUUGUAAAGCACUUUCAGCGAGGAGGCGUUACUCGCAGAAGAAGCACCGGCUAACUCCGUGCCAGCAGCCGCGGUAAUUC
rnacentral:rRNA from 1 species